UGUUAAAGUAAGACAUAUUGACUGGCAGUCAAAAGGUCACGGGUUCGAAUCCCGU
rnacentral:tRNA from 2 species